GACGAACGCUGGCGGCGUGCCUAAUACAUGCAAGUCGAGCGGACUUACAAAGCUUGCUUUUUAAGUUAGCGGCGGACGGGUGAGUAACACGUGGGCAACCUGCCUGUAAGACUGGGAUAACUUCGGGAAACCGGAGCUAAUACCGGAUAAUCCUUUUCUACUCAUGUAGAAAAGCUGAAAGACUGUUUACGCUGUCACUUACAGAUUGGCCCGCGGCGCAUUAGCUAGUUGGUGAGGUAACGGCUCACCAAGGCGACGAUGCGUAGCCGACCUGAGAGGGUGAUCGGCCACACUGGGACUGAGACACGGCCCAGACUCCUACGGGAGGCAGCAGUAGGGAAUCUUCCGCAAUGGACGAAAGUCUGACGGAGCAACGCCGCGUGAGUGAUGAAGGUUUUCGGAUCGUAAAACUCUGUUGUUAGGGAAGAACAAGUACGAGAGUAACUGCUCGUACCUUGACGGUACCUAACCAGAAAGCCACGGCUAACUACGUG
rnacentral:rRNA from 1 species